rnacentral:rRNA from 1 species
AGCAGUAGCCGCGGUAACACGUAGGGUGCAAGCGUUAAUCGGAAUUACUGGGCGUAAAGCGUGCGCAGGCGGUGAGUUAAGUCUGCUGUGAAAUCCCCGGGCUCAACCUGGGAAUGGCAGUGGAUACUGGCUCGCUAGAGUGUGUCAGAGGAUGGUGGAAUUCCCGGUGUAGCGGUGAAAUGCGUAGAGAUCGGGAGGAACAUCAGUGGCGAAGGCGGCCAUCUGGGACAACACUGACGCUGAGGCACGAAAGCGUGGGGAGCAAACAGGAUUAGAUACCCCGGUAGUCCCUGUCUCUUAUAC